UCCAUAGGUUAAUGAGGCGAACCGGGGGAACUGAAACAUCUAAGUACCCCGAGGAAAAGAAAUCAACCGAGAUUCCCCCAGUAGCGGCGAGCGAACGGGGAGGAGCCCAGAGCCUGAAUCAGCAUGUGUGUUAGUGGAAGCGUCUGGAAAGGCGCGCGAUACAGGGUGACAGCCCCGUACACAAAAGCGCAUGUGCUGUGAGCUCGAUGAGUAGGGCGGGACACGUGGUAUCCUGUCUGAAUAUGGGGGGACCAUCCUCCAAGGCUAAAUACUCCUGACUGACCGAUAGUGAACCAGUACCGUGAGGGAAAGGCGAAAAGAACCCCGGCGAGGGGAGUGAAAAAGAACCUGAAACCGUGUACGUACAAGCAGUGGGAGCACCCUUUGGGG
rnacentral:rRNA from 1 species